AUGAACGCUGGCGGCGUGCCUUAUACAUGCAAGUCGAGGGGGUUAGACCCCCGGCAAACGGGUGAGUAAUACAUAGGUACUUCCUUCAAGUUGAGGAUAACCAGCCGAAAGGUUGGACAAUACUCGAUGUGUUCGCAAGAAUAAAGUCGCAAGACGCUUGAAGCGAGGCCUAUGUCCUAUCAGCUAGUUGGUGAGGUAACGGCCCACCAAGGCUAUGACGGGUAGCUGGUCUGAGAGGAUGAUCAGCCACAAUGGGACUGCGACACGGCCCAUACUCCUACGGGAGGCAGCAGUAGGGAAUUUUGGACAAUGGGGGAAACCCUGAUCCAGCGACGCCGCGUGCGGGAUGAAGGCCUUCGGGUUGUAAACCGCUUUUGUAGGGGAAGAAUUUUUGACGGUACCCUACGAAUAAGAGGUUGCUUACUCUGUGCCAGCAGCAGCGGUAAUACAGAGACCUCAAGCGUUAUCCGGAAUCAUUGGGCGUAAAGCGUGCCGAUAGGGGGUCGCGAAAGUGUGUGGUUAAAUUCAGGGGCUCAACUCCUGAACCGCCGUGCAAACUCCGCCACUAGAGGAACAAAGAGGAAACUGGAACGAACGGUGUAGCAGUGAAAUGCGUUGAUAUCGUUCGGAACACCUAUAGCGAAGGCAGGUUUCUGGGUGUUUCCUGACCCUUCUAGGACGAAAGCGUGGGUAGCGAAUGGGAUUAGAUACCCCAGUAGUCCACGCUGUAAACGAUGCUGACUAGGCACGGGAGAGUAUCGACCCUCUUCUGCGCCGAAGCUAACGCGUUAAGUCAGCCGCCUGGGGAGUACGGUCGCAAGACUAAAACUCAAAGGAAUUGACGGGGAUCCGCACAAGCGGUGGAGCAUGUGGUUCAAUUCGACGAUAAGCGAGGAACCUUACCCGGUUUUGACAUGUACCUGCAAGCGCUAGAGAUAGCGUCGCCUUCGAGGGUGGUACACAGGUGCUGCACGGUUGUCGUCAGCUCGUGUCGUGAGAUGUUGCCUUAAGUGGCAGAACGAGCGCAACCCCUGUCGUGUGUUACUGUGUCACACGAGACUGCCAGGGUGUAACCUGGAGGAAGGUGGGGAUGACGUCAAAUCAGCGUGGCUCUUACAACCGGGGCUACACACGUGCUACAAUGGGGUGCAACAAAGGGACGCCAAGUCGCAAGACGGAGCCAAUCCCAUCAAACCACCCCUCAGUUCGGAUUGAGGGCUGCAAUUCGCCCUCAUGAAGCUGGAAUCGCUAGUAACCGUGGAUCAGCCUCGCCACGGUGAAUACGUUCUCGGAUUUUGUACACACCGCCCGUCACACCAUGGAAGUGGGCAGUACCCGAAGCUCUUCGCAAGAAGUGUUAAGGUAAGGCUCAUGACUGGGGUG
rnacentral:rRNA from 1 species